AAAAAUUCAAUAUUAUGUGCAUUAUGAAAUCAAAAAAAAUUCUGGAGUGAAAUAUGUAACUAGCCGCCUAAAAUCCAUAGACGGCGGCGAAAUCGGAAAAAAAAAUGGCUAGGAUAGAAGCAAAUUAUAAAUCCAACGCAAUGAAAAUUAAAAUAUAAGUGCAAAAAAAAGAAUAUAUUUUUUAAAAAAAAAUAGUUCAAAAAUAGGAAAAUUAUAAAUCUAAAGCAAUGAAAAUAAAAAUUAAAAAAAAAAACAAAAAACAAAUGCAAAAAAAAAAAAUGAAAAACAAGGGAGUGGAUUUUGAAAAUAGCCACUUUAGAAUAGUAAAUUUAAAAAUUACCC
rnacentral:lncRNA from 1 species